GGCAGGGUAGCUCAGCUGGUUAGAGCGCCGGAUUCAUAACCCGGAGGUCGGGAGUUCAAGUCUCCCCCUCGCCA
rnacentral:tRNA from 1 species